rnacentral:rRNA from 1 species
GAUGAACGCUAGCGGCAGGCUUAAUACAUGCAAGUCGAGGGGCAGCAGUUUUGUAGCAAUACAGAAGCUGGCGACCGGCAAACGGGUGCGGAACACGUACGCAACCUUCCUUUAACUGGAAGAUAGCCCACCGAAAGGUGGAUUAAUACUCCAUAACAUAUUGAAGAGGCAUCUUUUUGAUAUUAAAGCUCCGGCGGUUAAAGAUGGGCGUGCGUCUGAUUAGGUAGCUGGCGGGGUAACGGCCCACCAAGCCUUCGAUCAGUAGCUGAUGUGAGAGCAUGAUCAGCCACACGGGCACUGAGACACGGGCCCGACUCCUACGGGAGGCAGCAGUAAGGAAUAUUGGUCAAUGGACGCAAGUCUGAACCAGCCAUGCCGCGUGGAGGAUGAAGGCCCUCUGGGUUGUAAACUUCUUUUCUUUGGGACGAAACCCCUGUUUCUACGGGGACUGACGGUACCAGAGGAAUAAGCACCGGCUAACUCCGUGCCAGCCGCCGCGGUAACAC